GGAUGAGUGAAGAAUUUUCCUGGUAUUCAGAUCAAGAGGGAACGGCGACUCUCCGCUGGGACAACCCUCAACCUUCGUCAGGAGAGAAACGCAAAUGCUGACUGAGGUGGUGAGCAGCAUCCUUCACCGGAAAAUUUGUCAAACUGUCUGGAAUCCAAUUUGCCCUUACCUUCAGCACCUCGGGCAGCGACCAUAGCCAAGGCACUUUUUGUCUGGACUUCAGAAACGGUUCGAUACGACGAGGCUAUUGACAUUAAUAACACGAGGGCACACGAGAGAGCGAGAACGGAAGAGAGAGACAUUCUGUAUUUCCCAAUGAUCACACAGACCCAGGGGCGCCAUAUGUGGGAGAAGUUAGGAUGAUUCUAAGGGCCUGUGACUGACAGGGGCCCUGAACAAUUGUUAGAACAUGAGAGAGCCUCUAUAUGUCAUUUGGCAUAACUGCAGGUACUGCAAUGCAUUGAGGACAGGAAUGUGAUUCUCCAGUCAGGAAAAACGUCACUUGACACAGAGGCAGUCAAUAUCAGAGCCUUAAAGGAAGAGAUGCAGGCUCUUCGAGAUGGACGGGAGUCCCUCCUGUCUGAGGCAACACUGAUUGCUACGCAAGUGGAUGUUGCACCUCAAUUUAGCAAGGAACACAGCCGCCAGGGGAAAAGGAAGAGAUUUCAUGAGGAGACCGCUCAGGACAGUGCAGCUAUAGACAACAUCAUAAGUGACUUGGACACUAGGUUCCACACCACUGCAAAAAUUGAAGAAUAAUUUUAUGCUGUUCUGAAAGUUUGGCAGAUUAGUGAGGAUAAAGUCCCUUCUGUGUGCCAACCACUGAUCAUGAAGUAUUCCAGAUAUCUGACACCUGAGUUUCAACAUGAAGUAAGACACCUGAACACUGUAUAUGCUGCAUCUUUCCCCCCUAACUUGUCCCCUCUUGGUCUCCUGAACACU